rnacentral:lncRNA from 1 species
CCUCUCACUCCCUUUUCUCUGCUGGCCACCAGAGGUCUUGGAGGAAGCCCAAAAAUCUCCCCUUCAUGACUCCCUAGCAUGAGCCUCCUUGAGAAAUGAGCCAGUUCACCCUCUUCCAAGGCUGUGCCUUCUUAUCAAUGAGCUCUAGUGUUUCCAAGAC